rnacentral:rRNA from 1 species
AACGAACGCUGGCGGCAUGCCUAACACAUGCAAGUCGAACGAGACCUUCGGGUCUAGUGGCGCACGGGUGCGUAACGCGUGGGAACCUUCCCUUAGGUUCGGAAUAACUCCCCGAAAGGGGUGCUAAUACCGGAUAAUGUCUUCGGACCAAAGAUUUAUCGCCUUUGGAUGGGCCCGCGUUUGAUUAGCUAGUUGGUAGGGUAAAAGCCUACCAAGGCGACGAUCCAUAGCUGGUCUGAGAGGAUGCUCAGCCACACUGGGACUGAGACACGGCCCAGCCUCCUACGGGAGGCAGCAGUGGGGACUAUUGGACAAUGGGCGAAAGCCUGAUCCAGCACUGCCGCGUGAGUGAUGAAGGCAUUAGGGUUGUAACGCUCUUUUACCCGGGAUGCUAAUGACAGUACCGGGAGAAUAAGCCCCGGCUAACUCCGUG